GGGUUUUAUGUUGACGAACGAUUUUUUAGGAAAAUUAUAAAAAAGAGAUUACUAAUCGUCUUUGAAAUUUGAGGUUAUCUUCUAUGAACUUAAACCACAAGUGUAACAAAAGUUCUGUGAAAUCUGAUCUACAUGGAGAUUUCCUAAAACUAUAAGAAAAGUGUGAGCGGAUGAAACAAAAAAGUUGAUAAUUCAAUAAUCUAGAGAAGAUAUUUUGCACAAAAAAGAAGGGAUCGCAUUAAUUAUAAAUGGAUUAAAAAUUAUUGGAGAUAUUUUUCAGACAUCUUCCAUUUUGUACUUCUGCGAUAAUUCUAUAAAUUCAUCAUACAAGGGACCUGUUUCGAUGUACAUACAUAUAUGCUUGCCAAAUCUCUUCUCCAACUCAUUUGAAACAAAUGUUGAAGUUUGAAAGAAAAAGAAUUCGAAGAAAAAGUUCAUUAAACUAGUGCGCUCAUUGAAGUGUGCCCGCCAGCAGCUGCUUGUCAGCACAGCUGAUGUUCGAUCCCGCAGGACUCUUUCAAUUCGUUGGAAACAUGAAGCAUGCUACACUAUACAAGUCUUCUUUUGAUAUAAUGGAGGCAAGCUGCCGGUGUCGUAAGCUGCACCAGGAUAUGGAUGAGCAUAUAUGUACAUAAGUAUGUACAUAUAUAUACGCACAUGCAUACUUAGCUGAGAACAGCUGGAAAUAGAAUUGAUGGAGUUCGCUUUAAAUUAAAACAGGAAAAAAUGUGUUAAGCAACAAUUUGGAUUUUAAUUCGAGUAAACUAAAUUGCCACUAUGAA